rnacentral:rRNA from 1 species
GGCCAGACUCCUACGGGAGGCAGCAGUGGGGAAUAUUGGGCAAUGGGCGCAAGCCUGACCCAGCAACGCCGCGUGAAGGAAGAAGGCUUUCGGGUUGUAAACUUCUUUUAAGAGGGACGAAACAAAUGACGGUACCUCUUGAAUAAGCCACGGCUAACUACGUGCCAGCAGCCGCGGUAAUACGUAGGUGGCAAGCGUUAUCCGGAUUUAUUGGGUGUAAAGGGCGUGUAGGCGGGAAAGCAAGUCAGAUGUGAAAACUAUGGGCUCAACCCAUAGCCUGCAUUUGAAACUGUUUUUCUUGAGUGCUGGAGAGGCAAUCGGAAUUCCGUGCGUAGCGGUGAAAUGCGUAGAUAUACGGAGGAACACCAGUGGCGAAGGCGGGUUGCUGGACAGUAACUGACGCUGAGGCGCGAAAGCGUGGGUAGCAAACAGGAUUAGAUACCCUCGUAGAC